GGAGAUUUAGCUCAGCGGUAGAGCGCUUGCCUAGCAAGCGCAAGGCCCUGGGUUCGAUCCCCAGCUCCG
rfam:Rattus norvegicus chromosome 18, whole genome shotgun sequence.